UGGGGAAUUUUGGACAAUGGGCGAAAGCCUGAUCCAGCAAUGCCGCGUGUGUGAAGAAGGCCUUCGGGUUGUAAAGCACUUUUGUCCGGAAAGAAAUCCUUGGCUCUAAUACAGUCGGGGGAUGACGGUACCGGAAGAAUAAGCACCGGCUAACUACGUGCCAGCAGCCGCGGUAAUACGUAGGGUGCAAGCGUUAAUCGGAAUUACUGGGCGUAAAGCGUGCGCAGGCGGUUUGCUAAGACCGAUGUGAAAUCCCCGGGCUCAACCUGGGAACUGCAUUGGUGACUGGCAGGCUAGAGUAUGGCAGAGGGGGGUAGAAUUCCACGUGUAGCAGUGAAAUGCGUAGAGAUGUGGAGGAAUACCGAUGGCGAAGGCAGCCCCCGGGCCAAUACUGACGCUCAUGCACGAAAGCGUGGGGAGCAAACAGGAUUAGAUACCCUGGUAGUCCACGCCCUAAACGAUGUCAACUAGUUGUUGGGGAUUCAUUCCCUUAGUAACGUAGCUAACGCGUGAAGUUGACCGCCUGGGGAGUACGGUCGCAAGAUUAAAACUUAAAGGAAUUGACGGGGUCAUAGCUGUUUCCU
rnacentral:rRNA from 1 species